AGAGUUUGAUCCUGGCUCAGAAUCAACGCUGGCGGCGUGCCUAACACAUGCAAGUCGAGCGAGAAAAGGGGAGCAAUCCCCUGAGUACAGCGGCGCACGGGUGAGUAACACGUGGGUAAUCUGCCCUGGAGUGGGGAAUAACACCGGGAAACCGGUGCUAAUACCGCAUACGAUCACAAGGUUUGCGGAUUUUGUGAUGAAAGGAGCAAUUCGCUCUAGGAGGAGCCCGCGGCUGAUUAGCUAGUUGGUGAGGUAAUGGCUCACCAAGGCAACGAUCAGUAUCCGGUCUGAGAGGACGGUCGGACACACUGGAACUGAGACACGGUCCAGACUCCUACGGGAGGCAGCAGUGGGGAAUUUUUGGCAAUGGGGGCAACCCUGACCAAGCAACGCCGCGUGGGUGAUGAAGUCUCUUGGGACGUAAAACCCUUUCGACGGGGACGAAAGCCGCAAGGUUUGACGGUACCCGUAGAAGAAGCCCCGGCUAACUCCGUGCCAGCAGCCGCGGUAAUACGGGGGGGGCAAGCGUUGUUCGGAAUUACUGGGCGUAAAGGGCGCGUA
rnacentral:rRNA from 1 species